rnacentral:rRNA from 1 species
AGAGUUUGAUUCUGGCUCAGGAUGAACGCUGGCGGCAGGCCUAAUACAUGCAAGUCGAACGGUAAGGCCGAGUGUAGCAAUACACGAGGUACACGAGUGGCGCACGGGUGCGUAACGCGUAUGCAACCUGCCCCUGACCGGGACAAAACAGCUGGAAACGGCUGCUAAUAUCCCAUGGUUACCGAGGAGGGCAUCCUCCUUUGUAUAAAGAUUCAUUGGUCGGGGAUGGGCAUGCGUAUUAUUAGGUAGUUGGUGGGGUAACGGCCCACCAAGCCGACGAUGAUUAGGGGUUCUGAGAGGAUUAACCCCCACACUGGAACUGAGACACGGUCCAGACUCCUACGGGAGGCAGCAGUAGGGAAUACUGGGCAAUGGAGGCAACUCUGACCCAGCCAUGCCGCGUGAAGGAAGACGGCCCUAUGGGUUGUAAACUUCUUUUAUCGUGGAGUAAACCCGGUCACGUGUGGCCGGUUGAGAGUACACGAGGAAUAAGUAUCGGCUAACUCCGUGCCAGCAGCGGC